GUUUGCACCUGAGCCAGGCUUGCGUUACUUCCGUGACUUCAGUCUUUGCUCUCCUACCCUCUCACUUACUAGCUGAGCGCUCUGGGGGAGGUUAUCUAACCUUCCUGAGCCUCGUAUUCCUCAUACCGAAAACGGAGGUAACCAGAGUAACUACAUCCAAAAAUUGAGAGAACUGAAUGAGAUAAAUAAGGCGAGGUGUUUUUAACACGUCCUGCACAUGAAGACAAUACCAUGAUCAUGAAAUCACUGGAGAAAUCUGCCGGGGAAGGGCUGUGAGGAUAGUCUCAUCUGUAACGCAUGUGUCCUCCAGAAAAAAAGUAUAUGGCUUUCAGACUAAAUUUUACUCCUUAUCCAAAUGGAAAGAAUAUCUAAAGAGACAAAGUGUAAUAAUCCAAGAAUCUUCUAUUGUGAGAAUAAUGGAGAUUGACAUUGUGAAGUAUAUAGAAAAACAUAAAAGCCCCCCGGUACAUAGCUGUAUAUUCUUCGUUGUGGGUCCUUCUAGUUGUGGCAUGUGGGACGCUGCCUCAGCGUGGUUUGAUGAGCAGUGCCAUGUCCGCGCCCAGGAUUCGAACCAACGAAACUCUGGGCCGCCUGCAGCG
rnacentral:lncRNA from 1 species